rnacentral:rRNA from 1 species
UACGAAGGGGGCGAGCGUUGUUCGGAUUUACUGGGCGUAAAGGGCGCGCAGGCGGCUUAUUUUGUCAGGCGUGAAAGCCCCGGGCUUAACCUGGGAACUGCGUUUGAUACGGAUGGGCUAGAGUUCGGGAGAGGAGAGUGGAAUUCCCAGUGUAGAGGUGAAAUGCGCAGAUAUCAGGAGGAACACCAAUGGCGAAGGCAGCUCGCUGGGACGGUACUGACGCUGAGGCGCGAAAGCGUGGGGAGCAAACAGG